rnacentral:rRNA from 1 species
GACGAACGCUGGCGGCGUGCCUAAUACAUGCAAGUAGAACGCUGAAGGAGGAGCUUGCUUUUCUGGAUGAGUUGCGAACGGGUGAGUAACGCGUAGGUAACCUGCCUGGUAGCGGGGGAUAACUAUUGGAAACGAUAGCUAAUACCGCAUAAUAGCAGUUAUUGCAUGAUAACUGUUUGAAAGGUGCAAUUGCACCACUACCAGAUGGGCCUGCGUUGUAUUAGCUAGUUGGUGGGGUAACGGCUCACCAAGGCGACGAUACAUAGCCGACCUGAGAGGGUGAUCGGCCACACUGGGACUGAGACACGGCCCAGACUCCUACGGGAGGCAGCAGUAGGGAAUCUUCGGCAAUGGACGGAAGUCUGACCGAGCAACGCCGCGUGAGUGAAGAAGGUUUUCGGAUCGUAAAGCUCUGUUGUAAGAGAAGAACGAGUGUGAGAGUGGAAAGUUCACACUGUGACGGUAUCUUACCAGAAAGGGACGGCUAACUACGUG